AGGCAAUCUGAGAACAAGGAAAGGCUCAGUAAUUGACCUGUCUGCAUCUGACUGCAGCUUUGAACCUAAUAAUCUCUGAAGUGGAAGAAACAAACCAAAAGGAAACACCCACCUUACAUGUAAGCUCCUUUACCAGAGGCCUUAAAAUUGAAGCUGUACUGGGAGUUGUCUUAUGUCAGUGUUCUGUGCACUGGGUGACUGCAGCAGCUGAUCAACCUGCUUUGUGCAGUAAAGGAAGACAGGCAGGAGGACAGGGAUGGUGUCCUGUGUACGAAAGGAAGAUAUUUUCAUCCUCAGUGAUGGCUGGGAAAAAUUG
ensembl:lncRNA